CUUUGCAUUUGACUACUAUAUUUUCUCCUAAUAAUAGAUUUUAGUGGCUAGGUUUAUGGGAUGGAGCAAAAUAGCCAUGAUCUGAAGAUAGAGGAUUUGUGUCCUCCUCUAAUAUGAAAUGGUUGAACAAAAAUAA